rnacentral:rRNA from 1 species
GACGAACGCUGGCGGCGUGCUUAACACAUGCAAGUCGAACGAAGUGGCGAACGGGUGAGUAACGCGUAAUCAACCUGCCCUUCAGAGGGGGACAACAGUUGGAAAAGACUGCUAAUACCGCAUACUGAAGGAGGUGAUUGCGUCUGAUUAGCUAGUUGGAGGGGUAACGUCCCACCAAGGCGAUGAUCAGUAGGCGGGCUGAGAGGAUGAACGGCCAAAUUUGGACUGAGACACGGGCCAGACUCCCACGGGAGGCAGCAGGGGGGAAUCUUCCGCAAUGGACGAAAGUCUGACGGAGGAACGCCGCGUGAGUGAUGACGGCCUUCGGGUUGUAAAGCUCUGUUAAUCGGGACGCGGUACCGGAAUAGAAAGCCACGGCUAACUACGUGCCAGCAGCCGCGGUAAUAC